AAGCCUGUGAAGGUGGCCUGUGAGGGUUGCUGGAGGUAUCAGAAGUGCGAAUGCUGACAUAAGUAACGAUAAAGCGGGUGAAAAGCCCGCUCGCCGGAAGACCAAGGGUUCCUGUCCAACGUUAAUCGGGGCAGGGUGAGUCGACCCCUAAGGCGAGGCCGAAAGGCGUAGUCGAUGGGAAACGGGUUAAUAUUCCCGUACUUGGUGUUACUGCGAAGGGGGGACGGAGAAGGCUAUGUUGGCCGGGCGACGGUUGUCCCGGUUUAAGCGUGUAGGUGUGUGUUCCAGGUAAAUCCGGUUCACUUUAACACUGAGGCGUGAUGACGAGGCACUACGGUGCUGAAGUAACAAAUGCCCUGCUUCCAGGAAAAGCCUCUAAGCAUCAGGUAACAUCAAAUCGUACCCCAAACCGACACAGGUGGUCAGGUAGAGAAUACCAAGGCGCUUGAGAGAACUCGGGUGAAGGAACUAGGCAAAAUGGUGCCGUAACUUCGGGAGAAGGCACGCUGAC
rnacentral:rRNA from 1 species